rnacentral:rRNA from 1 species
CAAUAGCGUAUAUUAAAGUUGUUGCAGUUAAAAAGCUCGUAGUUGGAUUUCUGGUUGAAGCGACCGGUCGGGCGUUGAUUCGUCUGCACUGGAGUCGGUUUUGGCCAUCCUCUAGGAAAGUGCGUCUGGUAUUAAGUUAUCGGGCGUAUGAUCCUGGUCUUUUACUGUGAAAAAAUUAGAGUGUUUAAAGCAGGCCUUCGCCUUGAAUACAUUAGCAUGGAAUAAUAAGAUAGGACUUUGGUCUAUUUUGUUGGUUUGCAGACCGAAGUAAUGAUUAAUAGGGAUAGUUGGGGGUAUUUAUAUUCCGAUGUCAGAGGUGAAAUUCUUAGAUUUUCGUAAGAUAAACUUAUGCGAAAGCAUUUACCAAGGAUGUUUUCAUUAA